UGGGGAAUUUUGGACAAUGGGCGAAAGCCUGAUCCAGCAAUGCCGCGUGUGUGAAGAAGGCCUUCGGGUUGUAAAGCACUUUUGUCCGGAAAGAAAUCCUUGGCUCUAAUACAGUCGGGGGAUGACGGUACCGGAAGAAUAAGCACCGGCUAACUACGUGCCAGCAGCCGCGGUAAUACGUAGGGUGCAAGCGUUAAUCGGAAUUACUGGGCGUAAAGCGUGCGCAGGCGGUUUGCUAAGACCGAUGUGAAAUCCCCGGGGCUCAACCUGGGAACUGCAUUGGGUGACUGGCAGGCUAGAGUAUGGCAGAGGGGGGUAGAAUUCCACGUGUAGCAGUGAAAUGCGUAGAGAUGUGGAGGAAUACCGAUGGCGAAGGCAGCCCCCUGGGCCAAUACUGACGCUCAUGCACGAAAGCGUGGGGGAGCAAAACAGGAUUAGAUACCCCUGGUAGUCCACGCCCUAAACGAUGUCAACUAGUUGUUGGGGAUUCAUUUCCUUAGUAACGUAGCUAACGCGUGAAGUUGACCGCCUGGGGAGUACGGUCGCAAGAUUAAAACUCAAAGGAAUUGACGGGGU
rnacentral:rRNA from 1 species